rnacentral:rRNA from 1 species
GUACGCUGGCGGCUGCUCACACAUGCAAGUUGAACGGGUUUAAGUUUAUUAAACUUAAACAAGUAGCGGACGGGUGAGUAACGCGUAAGAACCUACCUUUAGGUAAGGAAUAACUAUUGGAAACGAUAGAUAAUACCUUAUAAGCUUAUAGUAAAAGAUAAAAUCGCCUAAGGAUGGGCUUGCGUCUGAUUAGCUUGUUGGUGAUUUAAAAGAUUCACCAAGGCAACGAUCAGUAGUUGGUCUAAGAGGAUGAUCAACCACACUGGGACUGAGACACGGCCCAGACCUCUACGGAGGGCAGCAGUGAGGAAUUUUCCGCAAUGGGCGAAAGCCUGACGGAGCAAUGCCGCGUGGAGGAUGAAAGCUUGUUAGUCGUAAACUCCUUUUCUUAGUGAAGAAAUAAGACGGUAUCUAAGGAAUAAGCAUCGGCUAACUCCGUGCCAGCAGCCGCGGUAAUACGGAGGAUGCAAGCGUUAUUCGGAAUUAUUGGGCGUAAAGCGUCUGUAGGUGGUUUUUUAAGUCUACUGUUAAAUAUUAAGGCUUAACCUUAAAAAAGCGGUAUGAAACUAAAAAACUUGAGUUUAGUAGAGGUAGAGGGAAUUCUCGGUGUA